rnacentral:lncRNA from 1 species
UCGGGUGUUUGUUCAUUUAAAUCCAAUUUUUGUUCACCUUUUUGUGUCCUAAGUGAUCUACUCAGUUAUUUACCAAGAUUCCAUGCCCAUGAUUAAACAAAAACACACAAAAAUCUAAUCUAACAGUUAGACUAAUAAGAAAAAGAUAAAAAAUAAGGAGUUAGACUAGUAGAACGCAAUUAAAAGAAACAAAAAUUAAACUAUGAAUG